rnacentral:rRNA from 1 species
UGUGAAAUCCCCGGGCUCAACCUGGGAACUGCAUCUGAUACUGGCAAGCUUGAGUCUCGUAGAGGGGGGUAGAAUUCCAGGUGUAGCGGUGAAAUGCGUAGAGAUCUGGAGGAAUACCGGUGGCGAAGGCGGCCCCCUGGACGAAGACUGACGCUCAGGUGCGAAAGCGUGGGGAGCAAACAGGAUUAGAUACCCUGGUAGUCCACGCCGUAAACGAUGUCGACUUGGAGGUUGUGCCCUUGAGGCGUGGCUUCCGGAGCUAACGCGUUAAGUCGACCGCCUGGGGAGUACGGCCGCAAGGUUAAAACUCAAAUGAAUUGACGGGGGCCCGCACAAGCGGUGGAGCAUGUGGUUUAAUUCGAUGCAACGCGAAGAACC